rnacentral:rRNA from 1 species
GAUGAACGCUAGCUACAGGCUUAACACAUGCAAGUCGAGGGGUAACGACAUCGAAAGCUUGCUUUUGAUGGGCGUCGACCGGCGCACGGGUGAGUAACGCGUAUCCAACCUGCCCACCACUUGGGGAUAACCUUGCGAAAGUAAGACUAAUACCCAAUGAUAUCUCUAGAAGACAUCUGAAAGAGAUUAAAGAUUUAUCGGUGAUGGAUGGGGAUGCGUCUGAUUAGCUUGUUGGCGGGGUAACGGCCCACCAAGGCUACGAUCAGUAGGGGUUCUGAGAGAAAGGUCCCCCACAUUGGAACUGAGACACCGUCCAAACUCCUAGGGGAGGCAGCAGUGAGGAAUAUUGGUCAAGGGGCGAGAGCCUGAACCAGCCAAGUAGCGUGCAGGAUGACGGCCCUAUGGGUUGUAAACUGCUUUUAUAAGGGAAUAAAGUGAGCCUCGUGAGGCUUUUUGCAUGUACCUUAUGAAUAAGGACCGGCUAAUUCCGUGCCAGCCGCCGCCGUAA